rnacentral:ncRNA from 1 species
AAAAAAGGGGAGCUCGUGUCCGGGCUGAGAGGAAGUAAUGAACUUCGACCCUGAAACCUGAUUUGGGUAAUGCCAACGUAGGGACGCAGA